AGCGAACGCUGGCGGCAGGCCUAACACAUGCGAGUCGAACGGAUCUUUCGGGAUUAGUGGCGGACGGGUGAGUAACACGUGGGAACGUGCCCUUUGGUUCGGAACAACUCAGGGAAACUUGAGCUAAUACCGGAUGUGCCCUUCGGGGGAAAGAUUUAUCGCCAUUGGAGCGGCCCGCGUCUGAUUAGCUAGUUGGUGAGGUAAAGGAUCACCAAGGCGACGAUCAGUAGCUGGUCUGAGAGGAUGAUCAGCCACAUUGGGACUGAGACACGGACCAAACUCUUACGGGAGGCAGCAGUGGGGAAUCUUGCGCAAUGGGCGAAAUCCUGACGCAGCCAUGCCGCGUGAAUGAUGAAGGUCUUAGGAUUGUAAAAUUCUUUCACCGGGGACGAUAAUGACGGUACCCGGAGAAGAAGCCCCGGCUAACUUCGUGCCAGCAGCCGCAGUAA
rnacentral:rRNA from 1 species